CAAAGGCUUGGUCCUGACUUUUCUAUCAGCUCUAGCUAAGUUUACACAUGCCAGCCUCCGCGCCCCCGUGAGGAUGCCCUGUCCGUCCCAAAUCGGAACUAAGGAGCGGGUAUCAGGCACAUCUCCAUAGCCCACGACACCUUGCUUAGCCACACCCCCAAGGGAUUCAGCAGUGAUAAACAUUAAGCCAUAAGUGAAAGCUUGACUUAACUAUUGCCAAGAGGGCCGGUAAACCUCGUGCCAGCCACCGCGGUUAUACGAGGAGCCCAAGUUGAUAGCCUCCGGCGUAAAGCGUGGUUAAGAUAAAAUUAAAGUAAAGCAGAACGCAAACCAAGCUGUUAUACGCAUUUGAAAGUAGAAGCCCAAUUACGAAAGUAGCUUUAUACAACUGACCCCACGAAAGCCAGGGCACAAACUGGGAUUAGAUACCCCACUAUGCCUGGCCCUAAAAAUUGAUAGUCCCUUACACCCACUAUCCGCCUGGGAACUACGAGCAAAACUUGAAACCCAAAGGACUUGGCGGUGCUUUAGACCCAACUAGAGGAGCCUGUCCUAGAACCGAUAUUCCCCGUUAAACCUUACCUUUUCUUGCAACUUCCGCCUAUAUACCGCCGUCGUAAGCUUACCCUGUGAAGGUGCCCAUAGUGAGCAAAGUUAGUAUCGCCCCACACGUCAGGUCGAGGUGUAGCACAUGUAAAGGAAUGAGAUUGGCUACAUUUACUAUUAGUAGUAAAUUACGAAUGAUGCCCUGAAACACCGCAUCUGAAGGUGGAUUUAGUAGUAAGUAAAAAACAGUGUGUUUUACUGAAACUUGGCUAUGAAGCGUGCACACACCGCCCGUCACUCUCCCCAUAAAAACUUUUUGACUUAAACUAUACAACCUAAAACGCUAAGGGGAGACAAGUCGUAACAUGGUAAGUGUACCGGAAGGUGCACUUGGAUCAUUG
rnacentral:ncRNA from 1 species